GCGCUCACUUUAGCAGCACAUAUACUAAAAUUGGAACAAUACAGAAAAGAUGGCCCCUGCACAAGGAUGACAUGCAAAUUCGUGAAGCAAACUCAGUAUGA
ensembl:snRNA U6 U6 spliceosomal RNA